CCCUUAGAUGUUCUGGGCGGCCCGCGCACUACAUUGGCACUCUCAAUAAGUUCCUAGAUCUAAAACUUUGGGGUAUUCUAUUAAGUGGUGUCGUGACUGGGAUUAACCCUUGCAAUUAUUGGUUACGAACGAGGAAUUCCUUGUAAUCGCGGUUUAUCAGCCCGCGUUGAAUGCGUCCCUGCCCUUUGUACACACCGCCCGUCGCUCCUACCGAUUGAAUGCUCAGGUGAGCCAUUCGGACUUUCAUCAUGCUGGUUUCCAGUUUUGAUGAAGGAAAGUCUUGCGAACCUUAUCAUUUAGAGGAAGGAGAAGUCGUAACA
rnacentral:rRNA from 1 species